rnacentral:lncRNA from 1 species
GGGUUAGAGGAAUAUUUAUACAUUCUCGUCUGGACCAAGAAUUAUGAACCAAAUUUAUGAUUCAGAGCUUGUAAAAUAACAUAUGAUAGACCUUUGGGUUAUCUUAGGAAUAGUCAAUGCUACAGCAAGUAUUAAAUGUGAGUGUCAGAGCUCUCUUGUACUAAUGACAUCCAGCACCAGCCUUGGUCCUUCCACACUCAUUCUCUGCACAGAUCAGAAGUAACUACAAUUACUGAGAGACUGUGUCAGACCCCUAGGUAUUAGGACAGAAGACAACUUAGCCUCAUCCCACAGCCCCAAGAGCAUACAUGGAUAGCUGCUUUGAUUUCUAAUGGAAAAGCUUUCCUUUGAUUUGUGGGAUAAGUUGAUGUCUCAUUUCUCUCUUCAGGUAUAUAUAUGUAUUACCUGAAAGCUGAGGGCAGCUGUUGCCUUGGGUCAUGCAGAGAAUAUGCAGCCACACCCAUGCCUUAGAUGUGUGUAAUUCAAGUGGAGAAGACACAAGCCAGUGGUCGCAAUAUCAACACUUGAGUGUUCUGUAAACGGAUUGGUGUCAGCAGAAAACCAACAGUGAUGUGGUGGCACACAGUGAACUGACCAGACCCAGGCAGCAGCGGCUCUUUUGGUGGCAAUGGUGCCACGUCAUGGGUACUCUCCUUGCUGAUGGCAGAUACCGACAGGCAAACUGUUGCCUUGCGUUUAGCUCUGUU